CAUCGAGAAAUCCCAACCAGAGUUGUACCGGCUUUCAUACCUAACGGAUCUGAUACUCCGACAUAUCCGUUGACAUUCUGGAAGACGCGUGCACCGAGAAUAUAGUUGAUCGUGAAAAGUUAAGAUAAGAUGCGCUAACGUAGUUAAAAUUACGAGUGUUACAGUGAGUGAAAAAAAUAUCGGCGAAUCCAAUCGAUUAAACUAUUCCCUUAUUUGAUCGAGUAUUCAAUUUGUUUAAUUCUCGACUACGGAUUAAGCAUUUUAAACGAUAUAGUAGACUGUUAUCGAACCGACGAUUGUAUUUAUCAUUACAAUUCGUCGCAAUCGUUCGAGUUUUUUUCCUCCUGCUUAAUCCAAUUAAUUGUCUUUGCUUCUAUAAGGGGUGGAGUUUCUUUAUUUUUUUGUUGGGUAUCUGUGUUCAUUUUCGAGAAAAAUCGAAAUACUUCUUUGGACGAUUAAUCGAUCUGACAGAUCUUGAGAGUGCAUUGUGAUUGUUUACAAAUGAAAAACAUUUGGACACUUGUUGUGAUUGGUAUACCUUAUUAUUAUAAAAGGAAGAAUGGAUUGUAGCGAUACAGAGAAGAUCACAGUUUCAAGGGAUAACAUAUUGUGAUGACCGAUGAUUCAGCUAAAGGAUCCAAUCGUUCGAUACUUAUUUGAAGAAUCCACGUACGGGAUCAUCGCGAUUAAGGAAAAGAGAUUACACAAAACACGCGCGAAAAAUCGGAACAACGUCAAAGGCACCCAGCGUCGCACGGGCGCUGUCGAUUCGCGCACAGUUCCACUAUUCCCUUCUUGGGUUCAUCGAAUACCCUCUGAUCAUUUUGUGAAGGGAAAAGUGAUCAUGCGGUUGGCUACCGAUCAGCCAAAAAACUUGACAAUUAUAUGGUUUCUUGUGAUGCGUUUAGGUGCGAUCUUAUGAUAAAUGUAGAACACGUUUUAUUUUAACAUUUUUUUCUUUUUUUCUUUGACAUUAAUUUUUACUUACUUACGACUAAAACUCGCGAGCGUUGAGAUUAUUAGGGACUACAAAAUAAUUGUUAAUACUUACGACUUCGACGUGGAUUCAAUUGAAUGCGUCACAAAUUACGCGUUGUGUUGUGAAUAAAAAAGAGAGAACGGGAUUUUCUUUUUUUUUCUAAAAACUAUCGUCGUAAUAUAAACAAAGUAAACUGUUAGACUCAUAAAUAGAGAGAGAGAGAGAAAGAGAGAGAGACAUAGAGAGAGAGAGAGAGAGAGAAGAGA
rnacentral:lncRNA from 1 species